CCUACGUGGGGCAGCAGUGAGGAAUAUUGGUCAAUGGCCGUAAGGCUGAACCAGCCAAGUAGCGUGAGGGAAGACUGCCCUAUGGGUUGUAAACUUCUUUUAUAAAGGAAUAAAGUGAGGCACGUGUGCCUUUUUGUAUGUACUUUAUGAAUAAGGAUCGGCUAACUCCGUGCCAGCAGCCGCGGUAAUACGGAGGAUCCGAGCGUUAUCCGGAUUUAUUGGGUUUAAAGGGAGCGUAGAUGGGUUGUUAAGUCAGUUGUGAAAGUUUGCGGCUCAACCGUAAAAUUGCAAUUGAUACUGGCAGCCUUGAGUACAGUUGAGGUAGGCGGAAUUCGUGGUGUAGCGGUGAAAUGCUUAGAUAUCACGAAGAACUCCGAUUGCGAAGGCAGCUUACUAAACUGCCACUGACAUUGAUGCUCGAAAGUGUGGGUAUCAAACAGGAUUAGAUACCCCAGUAGUC
rnacentral:rRNA from 1 species